UUUAUCGCACAAAUGUUCUCUCCCUGUGCACAAGAGCCCUACAAUGGUCCAUUGAUCUGACUAUAGAUAUGCAAUCCACACCCUUAAAUCCAAACUGAUAUUAAAACCUCCAACUAUGUCUAAGCUUUCAUGUAGUCUCUUCCUUCAAGCUUUUAGAUUACAAAUUUGUGUACCUUUCUUACACUUUAACUCAGCUAGUCAAGAACAACUUCUGUUCUUUCUCAAAGCUACUGUGUCCAAACUAGCUAUGGGGCCAACCCAGCCUAUGCAAAGGGUUCUGGUGGUUCUUUCCCCAAGAGUAAAGCACAGGGUAUGAAGCUGACCACUCAACUAGUGCUGAAAGAGAAUGGAGCUACACCUCAACUACCCCAUAAAUCUUCAUGGUAUGGUGCUUCGUAAAUACCACGGAAAACUAUACCUUUAAAAUAUAAUAUUGCAUUUGAGAAGAGCAAGAGAUGUCCAAAACAUGCUACUCUGUAUUACAAAUAAAUUUAUACUUUACUGUG